UUAUUUCUAGUUUAUUGUAAGAAUGCUGGCUUGUCGUGUCAGAGGGGUAAGGUUUUACGAAAUAAG
rnacentral:tRNA from 1 species